UACGAAGGGGGCUAGCGUUGUUCGGAUUUACUGGGCGUAAAGCGCACGUAGGCGGAUCGUUAAGUGAGGGGUGAAAUCCCAGGGCUCAACCCUGGAACUGCCUUUCAUACUGGCGAUCUCGAGUCCGGAAGAGGUGAGUGGAACUCCUAGUGUAGAGGUGGAAUUCGUAGAUAUUAGGAAGAACACCGGUGGCGAAGGCGGCGCUCUGGACCGAGACUGACGCUGAGGCGCGAAAGCGUGGGGAGCAAGCAGG
rnacentral:rRNA from 1 species